GGUGCCUAUCCUGAUUGGCUGAGCCUCGGCGACCGGUGGACGGCCGGCAAUGGCGGGGUUUUCGGUUUUCAAACUCGCCAGGCGGGCGGGAAAGACAAGCCGGUUUAACUGACCCGCGGGAGAAAGGCGCCCAGCUGGAGAGCGGGCCAGCCAGGUGGUUCCUGCUGCGGGACCCCCACCAUUUAGACUGGGAGAAGACAGGAAUUAAAUCUUUUCAGAAUGGUAGACUCCGUGGAGGUGAUAAAACGGAGCCUUCGCAUAUGCUGUCCCUCUGCCCGGGACAUUCUUGCCAUUCAGGCCUCAGCUCCAAUAUCACCUCCUCAGUGAAGACACCACCAUCCCUCCUGCCCCCUUGAAUAUCAAGCUCCCGGCCUUACCUUGCCCUUGACGUCGAGGAUGAAGACAGCCGAGGCGGACAUUGUGGCGGCCGGCGGACCUGGGAGGCGGGGAGGGAGCGCCGGGAGGCGACGGCGGCGCCGCUUCCUUCUUCCUGCGGAAGCGCCGGCGCGCAGGUGAGAGCCCAGGACCUGAGGGGGAAGAAAUUUCCUGUCUUCUCACAUUGGAAGAAGCAGAGGCACAGAGAGGUGAAGCCACUUGCCCAACGUCACACAGCUGUGAAGCAGCUGAACCAGAAUUUGAACCUGAGUCCUGGCAUUCAAGAGCCCAAUCCCAACCCACUCCCAACUGCUCCGCCAUAUUGCCAGAUACAAGUAUUGCUACUAAAUGGGGCGCCUGUGUGGCUCAGUCGGUUGAGUGUUCGACUCUUGAUCCUGGCUCCAGUCAUGA